GGAAGGGCCAUAGCUCAUUGGAAAAAACAUCUGCUUUGGAUGCAGAAAGUCCCAGGUUUGAUCUCUGGCGCCUCCG